rnacentral:rRNA from 1 species
UACGGAGGGAGCUAGCGUUGUUCGGAAUUACUGGGCGUAAAGCGCACGUAGGCGGCUUUGUAAGUUAGAGGUGAAAGCCCGGGGCUCAACCCCGGAAUUGCCUUUAAGACUGCAUCGCUUGAAUCCGGGAGAGGUGAGUGGAAUUCCGAGUGUAGAGGUGAAAUUCGUAGAUAUUCGGAAGAACACCAGUGGCGAAGGCGGCUCACUGGACCGGAACUGACGCUGAGGCGCGAAAGCGUGGGGAGCAAACGGG